rnacentral:misc_RNA from 1 species
CACAGUGCACCAGCCACCGUUCCCUAUCCGCUGUCUUUAACCUGUCGCUUCCGGCUCAUCACCUCCGCACCGUCGCCACGAACCUCUGCAGCCCAUGUUGCAUCAGAAUCGUCACUCAGUACCGGAGUCUCUCUUCCACGUCUCCUAUGAGCCCUCCACACCCUCCUCCACCUUCGUAACCGAGGCGACGACGCCCAUAGACGACGCCGUCGCCGUCACACCUGCUCAGCGUGGUGACUCGCCGUUGUCGCCCUGCGACAGCCGAGAUGCUCCACGCAGCCUCGUUCCCGGGGACUUGUCGAUGCAUCGUAGCUUCUUCUGCUACGUCUGCUGCGAACCUCUUUUUCGAGCAAUGAGUGACGGUGUGUGCGAUCACCAUGUGCGUGAGGCGUGCUGCUUAAAGAUGAGCGUCAGCGGUACUGCCACCUGCCCUCUGUGCGGGUGGAAUGGGCCAUGGUCAACGGACGCAGCGCACAGUGAGUGCGUGCGCGACGCGAUCGAGGUGCGUUUGAAGGAGAAUGCCAUUGCCCUCCUUCGCGACGCCUACCCUGCGCUCUCGAGUGACUGCGUUGGCGAUGUGGUGGGAAGCUGCUUUGAUCGCUCGUGUCUCACAGUGGACCUGCACCAAGCACAGCAGUAUCUUGCGGCGGUGCCUCCCGAUGGAGUCGGCGCUGUCUGCACGUCGCUGGGUGCGCCUGAUACGAUCCCUAACAAGGCGGCUGUCUUCUCGCUGCGCGUCGAGGGCCCGUGGCUCACUAGCUGUGACCUUGUGAGGAGGUUCUUGAAGCUGCAGGUGCUUGUCUUGUGUGACUGCGCAGACCUCGUCUCGCUUCGCGGAGUCGAAUGCGCGCCACUGCUCGAACGUCUCACUGUGGAGCGCUGUGGCUUGGCUGACACGUUGGGGAUCGACGCGUGCCCAUGUCUCAAGUUCCUGCAGCUUCGCGAAUGCCCUCGGCUGUCGCACUUGGGGUGGAGCCAGAUACCUAAUAGCCAAUCAAGCCUCCAAGAAUCUAGCGGGCAAGAUGGUGGCUGUGCGGCACUGCGCAGUGUGAGCGUUUUUCGCUGCCCCGCCUUCCGGGGCAUCGGCGUCCUCUCCGCUUCUCCGCAUCUGCGAGAGUUCCGUGCGCAGUGUGCUCGCAUCAGCAGCCUGGCCGCAUUGCGUGAGUGCCGCCGCCUCGAGUUGCUUGAUGUUGGAGGGUGCCAGCAGGUGUGCUGCAUUGAAGCCCUGCGAAGUGCGAAGGCGCUAAGGUAUCUUGACCUCUCCAACACGGCUGUCUCCGACAUCGGCGCGCUCUCACAGUGCACGGCGCUCGAGAGGGUGAAUCUGAACGGGUGCCUCCGGUUGCGCUCUCUCGAUAGUCUUGAGUGCUGUACGGAGCUCAGAGAGCUGCAGGCGUCUCGAACUAGCAUUGAGACGCUGAUCGGUCUGCGCCUGUGCCGUGCCCUCAAGAAAGUGGAUGUCAGCGGCUGCGCGGCGCUGAGGGACGCCGCGGCCCUCACGCAUCUCUCCCAACUCACACAUGUCGAUCUUUCCUUCACGGCGGUGGAUGACGUCAGCUCCCUUGCCUACUACAACGGACUGGAGAGCGUCCGUCUGCGCGGAUGUCGGCACGUGCGAGACUACUCACCACCGCACAACCUCGAGGAUGCGCCGCCGCUGCGCUCUCUCGACCUCACCAACACAAGUGUCUGCAGCAUCUCCGAGUGGGGUCGCUGCCCACCGAGGCUGGAGAUGCUCCGCAUGAACGGCUGCACGGAGCUCUCUGACAUCUCAGUCCUGCAGUCUGCAAGCCGGCUGAGGGUGGUGGAUUUGGACAACACCAGUGUGCGGAGCGUGUCGCCGCUGCGGUUGGCUGCGCCUGAGCUGGAGGAGCUUCACACCAAUGAUGUCACUUACCAGAGCGAGGUGCCUCUCUUCCAAACCACUGGAGUGCAGCGACAGCAUAACGUGGUAAACGCUGGCGCGUCGAGCCGAUCACUGUGAUAUGCGCGACGCGAGCACAUGUGUGGCUCCACACCUGGUGAUGGUGAGCGGACACACGUGCGGGAUUCUACGCUCUGCGCGUCGUAUACUUGUUAUCCUUUUAGCUUCAUUCUCUUCUCUGUUUAAUCUUGUGUGUGUCUUCUCUAUUCUCUAUUCUCUAUUCUUCUGUCUUCAUUCUUGUACUGCUUGAUACGACUCUACCGUCUCUCCCUCCCCCCACUCCGUGACACCCCCUCCACUCAG